rnacentral:rRNA from 1 species
UACGUAGGGUCCAAGCGUUAUCCGGAUUUAUUGGGCGUAAAGCGCAUGUAGGUGGUCUAACAAGUCUUGUCUUAAAGCUCCGGGCUUAACUCGGAAUCUGGACGAGAUACUGUUAGGCUAGUGGUCAGCAGGGGCAAAUGGAAUUCCCGGUGUAGGAGUGAAAUCCGUUGAUAUCGGGAAGAACACCAAUGGCGAAGGCAAUUUGCUAGGCUGAUUCAGACACUGAGAUGUGAAAGCGUGGGGAGCGAACGGG